rnacentral:rRNA from 1 species
CAGGUUUACCUGUGUGACUGCGUACCUUUUGUAUAAUGGGUCAGCGACUUAUAUUCUGUAGCAAGGUUAACCGAAUAGGGGAGCCGGAGGGAAACCGAGUCUUAAUUGGGCGUUAAGUUGCAGGGUAUAGACCCGAAACCCGGUGAUCUAGCCAUGGGCAGGUUGAAGGUUGGGUAACACUAACUGGAGGACCGAACCGACUAAUGUUGAAAAAUUAGCGGAUGACCUGUGGCUGGGGGUGAAAGGCCAAUCAAACCGGGAGAUAGCUGGUUCUCCCCGAAAGCUAUUUAGGUAGCGCCUCGUGAACUCAUCUCCGGGGGUAGAGCACUGUUUCGGCUAGGGGGCCAUCCCGGCUUACCAACCCGAUGCAAACUGCGAAUACCGGAGAAUGUUAUCACGGGAGACACACGGCGGGUGCUAACGUCCGUCGUGAAGAGGGAAACAACCCAGACCGCCAGCUAAGGUCCCAAAGUCAUGGUUAAGUGGGAAACGAUGUGGGAAGGCCCAGACAGCCAGGAUGUUGGCUUAGAAGCAGCCAUCAUUUAAAGAAAGCGUAAUAGCUCACUGGUCGAGUCGGCCUGCGCGGAAGAUGUAACGGGGCUAAACCAUGCACCGAAGCUGCGGCAGCGACGCUGAUGCGUUGUUGGGUAGGGGAGCGUUCUGUAAGCCUGCGAAGGUGGCCUGUGAGGGUUGCUGGAGGUAUCAGAAGUGCGAAUGCUGACAUAAGUAACGAUAAAGCGGGUGAAAAGCCCGCUCGCCGGAAGACCAAGGGUUCCUGUCCAACGUUAAUCGGGGCAGGGUGAGUCGACCCCUAAGGCGAGGCCGAAAGGCGUAGUCGAUGGGAAACGGGUUAAUAUUCCCGUACUUGGUGUUACUGCGAAGGGGGGACGGAGAAGGCUAUGUUGGCCGGGCGACGGUUGUCCCGGUUUAAGCGUGUAGGUGUGUGUUCCAGGUAAAUCCGGUUCACUUUAACACUGAGGCGUGACGACGAGGCACUACGGUGCUGAAGCAACAAAUGCCCUGCUUCCAGGAAAAGCCUCUAAGCAUCAGGUAACAUCAAAUCGUACCCCAAACCGACACAGGUGGUCAGGUAGAGAAUACCAAGGCGCUUGAGAGAACUCGGGUGAAGGAACUAGGCAAAAUGGUGCCGUAACUUCGGGAGAAGGCACGCUGACACGUAGGUGAAGUGAUUUACUCAUGGAGCUGAAGUCAGUCGAAGAUACCAGCUGGCUGCAACUGUUUAUUAAAAACACAGCACUGUGCAAACACGAAAGUGGACGUAUACGGUGUGACGCCUGCCCGGUGCCGGAAGGUUAAUUGAUGGGGUCAGCGCAAGCGAAGCUCCUGAUCGAAGCCCCGGUAAACGGCGGCCGUAACUAUAACGGUCCUAAGGUAGCGAAAUUCCUUGUCGGGUAAGUUCCGACCUGCACGAAUGGCGUAAUGAUGGCCAGGCUGUCUCCACCCGAGACUCAGUGAAAUUGAACUCGCUGUGAAGAUGCAGUGUACCCGCGGCAAGACGGAAAGACCCCGUGAACCUUUACUAUAGCUUGACACUGAACAUUGAGCCUUGAUGUGUAGGAUAGGUGGGAGGCUUUGAAGUGUGGACGCCAGUCUGCAUGGAGCCGACCUUGAAAUACCACCCUUUAAUGUUUGAUGUUCUAACGUGGACCCGUGAUCCGGGUUGCGGACAGUGUCUGGUGGGUAGUUUGACUGGGGCGGUCUCCUCCUAAAGAGUAACGGAGGAGCACGAAGGUUGGCUAAUCCUGGUCGGACAUCAGGAGGUUAGUGCAAUGGCAUAAGCCAGCUUGACUGCGAGCGUGACGGCGCGAGCAGGUGCGAAAGCAGGUCAUAGUGAUCCGGUGGUUCUGAAUGGAAGGGCCAUCGCUCAACGGAUAAAAGGUACUCCGGGGAUAACAGGCUGAUACCGCCCAAGAGUUCAUAUCGACGGCGGUGUUUGGCACCUCGAUGUCGGCUCAUCACAUCCUGGGGCUGAAGUAGGUCCCAAGGGUAUGGCUGUUCGCCAUUUAAAGUGGUACGCGAGCUGGGUUUAGAACGUCGUGAGACAGUUCGGUCCCUAUCUGCCGUGGGCGCUGGAGAACUGAGGGGGGCUGCUCCUAGUACGAGAGGACCGGAGUGGACGCAUCACUGGUGUUCGGGUUGUCAUGCCAAUGGCACUGCCCGGUAGCUAAAUGCGGAAGAGAUAAGUGCUGAAAGCAUCUAAGCACGAAACUUGCCCCGA